UUUUUUAAACUUGAUUCUUACAAAUGUGUACAAAGUUUACCACCCCUACCCAUGGAAAUAUCAUUGUAAUUACCACCAGCGGUUAUUCACUGAAGAGGGACUGGAAAAUAUUAGACCAGCCCGAAAUGCAUU